rnacentral:pre_miRNA from 1 species
AAAAUGACAAACCCUGGUUUCCGUGUCCAACGUUCGACCGUCCGUCUUAUUUGAAAAAAUUAUAAAAAAAAAUUAAAAGACAAGUCACGCAUAAAAUAUUAAUCAUGUUUUAUCAUCUAACAACAAUGAAAAUACGAAUUAUAAAAAAAUUUCAUAUAAGACGAACAGUCAAAGUUGGACAUGGAAACCCAGGGUUUGCCUUUUU